UGUACACGCUGUGACUAGCAUAUCAAUAAGCGGAGGAAAAGAAACUAACAAGGAUUCCCCUAGUAACGGCGAGUGAAGCGGGAAGAGCUCAAAUUUGAAAUCUUAAAGGGUUUCCCUUUACGAAUUGUAGUUUAAAGAAGUGUUUUCUGUUGAGGUUUUGGUGAAAGUUCUUUGGAAUAGGACAUCAUAGAGGGUGAGAAUCCCGUAUUUGACCUUUACUUUCAACUUUGUGAUACACUUUCAAAGAGUCGGAUUGUUUGGGAAUGCAGUCCAAAAUGGGUGGUAAAUUUCAUCUAAAGCUAAAUAUUGGCGAGAGACCGAUAGCGAACAAGUACCGUGAGGGAAAGAUGAAAAGAACUUUGAAAAGAGAGUUAAACAGUACGUGAAAUUGUCAAAAGGGAAGCGUUUGACACCAGUGUUGUUUUUCUGAAAAUCAAUUAAAGAACUGUUUAUGCUAAGUUGUUUAGACUUUAUCAGCUAUCUGUUUAGUUUUGAGCUUUUCUUUAAUGCACUUUUCAGUUAACAAGUCAACAUCAAUUUCUUUUGCUGUAAAAAAGCUUGAGGAAGGUGGCUUGAGAUUCGUCUUAAGUGUUUAUAGCCUCUUGCCUAUGCAGUCGGAGAGAUUGAGGUCUGCAGCGUAGAUCCUUCGGGGCUAAAUGCAUUUGUGCUAAGUUAUAGCAUUUUAUAGACAACUUGUUGACUAUGAUUUGUCUUGUAGCUUACUCGCUUAUGUUAUUUUACCUACGCUUAGGAUGUUGAAGAUGUAGCACAUCAU
rnacentral:rRNA from 1 species